rfam:Schistocephalus solidus strain NST_G2 genome assembly, scaffold: SSLN_scaffold0007312
GGCCUCGUAGCUCAGUUAGCUAGAGCAUUGGCUGUACUAAAGCCUUCCUUUUGCUGGCAGGGGUUCGAAUCCCACUGAGGCUG